rnacentral:rRNA from 1 species
AUUGAACGCUGGCGGUAUGCUUAAGACAUGCAAGUCGAACGGAAUCUUCGGAUUCAGUGGCGGACGGGUGAGUAACACGUGGGAAUCUACUGAGUAGUGGGGGACAGCCCGGCGAAAGCCGGAUUAAUACCGCAUACGCCCUACGGGGGAAAGGCGCAAGCCGCUAUUUAAUGAGCCCGCGUAAGAUUAGCUAGUUGGUGAGGUAAAGGCCCACCAAGGCAACGAUCUUUAGCUGGUCUGAGAGGAUGGCCAGCCACAUCGGGACUGAGACACGGCCCGGACUCCUACGGGAGGCAGCAGUCGGGAAUAUUGGACAAUGGGCGCAAGCCUGAUCCAGCAAUACCGCGUGUGUGAAGAAGGCCUGCGGGUUGUAAAGCACUUUCAGUGGGAAGAUAAUGACGU